ensembl:lncRNA
AGCUCUUCAGUUCCCAGAGAGCAGGGACUCCUGGGAAACAGGAAGUAGCAAAGGCCUGUGAGAAAAUCCCCAGAUGAAAAUCAGCAGUAAAUCUCUCCCAGCAACACUUUGGUCAGAAGAGGGAAAUUCCCCACCAGCCCUCAAAAACAGUCCCUCAAGAAAGCUUAGAGAAGGUUAAUUUGGGAAAUCCCCUCAGAAGCAACAGAACAGAAACGGAAAUCUGCUUCUUAAGAGAAAUCUGAAAAGAGUAAGCCAAUUAGUGGCUGCCUGGGGAGCGCUCAGUGUUAAGCCAUAGUGCUGCUGCUACCUCAUUUCCCUCUUUUCAUCCUGAUCCUGAGGGCAACCCUGACGGGACUCAGUUGCCAGAGCCACUUGACACCCUCUCUUUCUAGGCUCCCACCCCAGGGGAAUGAAUGCAACCAAUGCUAAGCCAGAUUCCCCUCCCAUGCAAACCCUCUCCACGUGUGCGUGCACGCUGAGUAGCUUCAGCCAUAUCUGACUCUUUGUGAUACUAGGGACUGUAGCUGCCAGGCUCCUCUGUCCCUGGGAUUCUCCAGGCAAGAAUACUGGAGUGGGUUGCCAUUUCCUUCUCCAAUGCAUGAAAGUGAAAAGUCAAAGUGAAGUCGCUCAGUUGUGUCCGACCUUCAGCGACCCCAUGGACUGCAGCCUUCCAGGCUCCUCCUUCAUGGGAUUUUCCAGAAUGCUGCUGCUGCUGCUGCUGCUGAGUUGCUUCAGUUGUGUCUGACUCUAUGCGACCCCAUAGACGGCAGCCCACCAGGCUCUCCCGUCUCUGGGAUUCUCCAGGCAAGAAUACUGGAGUGGGUUGCCAUUUCCUUCUCCAAUGCAUGAAAGUGAAAAGUGAAAGUGAAGUCGCUCAGUCGUGUCCGACUCUUCGAGACCCCAUGGACUGCAGCCUACCAGGCUCCUCUGUCCAUGGGAUUUUCCAGGCGAGAGUACUGGAGUGGGGUGCCAUUGCCUUCUCCGUCUCCUAGAAUAUGUGCCCUUUAUGUUGUCAGGACCCAGCACUGUGUGAUUCACAAUCACAGAUUCCACUUUAAAAUACUUUUUGACUCCUGGAAAACUACCCUGCCAAAAAUCACUUUCCUGAUACUUUCAAACAAACAUAGUUCUUGUUUGCUUCAAUUCAUGUGUCUUUGUUAAGAUUCCUUUUUCCAGAAAUUGUAAAGAAUCUUAGCCACCUACUUUUCUCCAUGCUUGGAAUAAGCCAGAAAACUCCUUUUGGGGUUUGCAUGUUUCUAAGCAAUUAGACUAGUCUUUAAGUUCAUUCUGUACACAUGAAUAAUAAUUACAGUAGUUACAUUUAAAUAACAAUCCUAACUUGAAAAUUCUAGUUUAGUCAACACACCCUCAAGAGGCAUUAUUUCUUUUUUUUUUUCAUUUGGGAGCCUAGAAAGUAUUUAAUUCUCAGUUCCUAGCAAGACCAAAGAAUAUUUCUGAUUUUAGGGUAAACUUUUCAUCUCCUCUUGGCGCUACCUUAGUUACAAAUGUGAAAUCAAUUAAAUGAUGCAUGUCAGCAAAAAACAGCCCUUUAAUGCCCGGCACAGAUGAAACAGAUUCCAACAUGGGUCUAAGAGUAAUAAAUAAACUAAUAAAAAAAGGAAACCAGGGAGCAACUUUGCUGGAAGUAAGCCGUUUGCCUUUGCCCUGGAAAGUUUAUCGUGUUUUAAACAAUUGUAAACAUGUCAGUAUACGUGGAUACCGUUUCCAUAGCAGCAUAGCAACAGUUAAGAGUUUCUCCAAA